GACGAACGCUGGCGGCGUGCCUAAUACAUGCAAGUAGAACGCAGUUGCGAACGGGUGAGUAACGCGUAGGUAACUGCCUGGUAGCGGGGGAUAACUAUUGGAAACGAUAGCUAAUACCGCAUACUACCAGAUGGACCUGCGUUGUAUUAGCUAGUUGGUGGGGUAACGGCUCACCAAGGCAACGAUACAUAGCCGACCUGAGAGGGUGAGCGGGCAAAACGGGACUGGGACACGGCCCCGACACCUACGGGGGGCAGCAGGAGGGGAACAUCGGCAAUGGGGGGAACCCUGACCAAGCAACGCCGCGUGAGUGAAGAAGGUUUUCGGAUCGUAAAGCUCUGUUGUUAAGGAAGCGGUACUUAACCAGAAAGGGACGGCUAACUACGUGCCAGCAGCCGCGGUAAUUC
rnacentral:rRNA from 1 species